rnacentral:misc_RNA from 1 species
AUCGUUACUUGUGUACCUAAUAAGUAGGUAAUUCUUGGGAAGUACAAAUUGGAAAGAGUAAACGGAAGCUGGUAGUGACACGUCAAUCAACUGGCCGGAAAAUCGCCAUAGCUUAGCUUCACCAUAAAAAUGGUGGAAAUUUAACCCACAAAAAGCACCAAUAAACAUGAUCCCUUUUGUCACCUUCACCUUACUUAUCCUUUUCAGCUUGAUCUCAUCAUCAUCUUCUUCACAAAUCUCAGUUUCUGUAACCCCAAAAACCUUAUCAAAAUCUGGUGAUUUUGUUACAAUCAAAUGGACUGGUAUACCAUCACCUUCUAAACUCGAUUUCUUAGGAAUUUACUCGCCACCCAGUUCACUCCACGAUAAUUUCAUUGGCUAUAUUUUCCUAUCUUCAACAUCCGAAUGGGAAUCUGGAUCGGGUUCAAUUUCCAUCCCUUUAGUCAAUCUUAGAUCUGGGUAUCAGUUUCGGAUAUUCAGAUGGACGGAAUCGGAGAUUGUACCGGAUCUAGUGGAUCAUGACCACAAUCCAUUGCCGCAGACGAAGCAUCUUCUUGCUGUGUCGGAGGAGGUUGGGUUUGUUUCGGGUAGGGGACCCGAACAGGUUCAUUUGGCUUUGACGGGUUUUGAAGAUGAGAUGCGGGUUAUGUUUGUUACGCCUGAUGGGAAAGAGAGUUAUGUGAGAUAUGGGUUGACCCGGGGUAGAUUGGGUCGGGUUGUGAAAACUCGGGUUGUGAGGUAUGAGAAGGAAGAUUUGUGUGAUGCACCAGCAAAUAGUAGUAUUGGAUGGAGAGAUCCUGGGUAUAUACAUGAUGGUGUUAUGCAUAAUCUGAAAAAGGGAAAGAAGUAUUAUUAUCAGGUUGGCAGUGAUUCAAGGGGCUGGAGCACCAUUUUCAGCUUUGUGUCACAGAAUAGAGACACGGGUGAAACAUUUGCUUUCUUGUUUGGAGACAUGGGGACUGCUACGCCAUACUUGACAUUUCUUCGUACACAGGAAGAAAGUAAAUCAACGAUUAAGUGGAUAAGCCGUGAUAUUGAAGCUCUUGGUAAUAAGCCUGCCCUUAUCUCACAUAUUGGAGAUAUCAGCUACGCCAGAGGAUACUCUUGGUUGUGGGACAACUUUUUUACUCAGGUGGAACCUGUUGCAUCCAGAGUUCCAUACCAUGUAUGCAUCGGAAACCAUGAAUAUGAUUGGCCACUUCAACCUUGGAAGCCUGAUUGGUCAAGCUACGGGAAAGAUGGGGGAGGUGAAUGUGGUGUACCCUACAGUCAUAAGUUCCAUAUGCCAGGAAACUCUUCAGUGCCGACUGGAAUGCAUGCUCCUGCAACUCGGAAUCUUUAUUACUCAUUUGAUUCUGGGCCCGUUCACUUUGUCUAUAUGUCAACUGAAACAAAUUUCCUGCCAGGUAGUAACCAGUAUGACUUUUUAAAGCAUGACUUGGAAUCAGUUGAUCGAGUAAAAACUCCUUUUGUCGUCUUUCAAGGGCACAGACCAAUGUACAGUUCAAGUAGCGGAACAAAAGAUAUAUCUUUGAGGAAGAGAAUGGUUGAGUAUUUGGAACCUCUUCUUGUGAAGAACAAUGUGAAUCUUGUAUUGUGGGGGCAUGUUCAUAGGUAUGAGAGGUUUUGCCCUUUGAAUAACUUCACCUGUGGAAGCUUGGCCUUGAACGGGAAGGAGCAAAAGGCUUUCCCUGUUCAAAUUGUGAUCGGGAUGGCAGGACAGGACUGGCAGCCUAUCUGGGCACCAAGAGAAGACCACCCUACGGAUCCUAUUUUCCCACAGCCUCUGCAAUCUCUGUACCGUGGGAGUGAAUUUGGAUACAUGAGGCUGCAUGCCACAAAGGAAAAGCUUACACUUUCUUAUGUAGGAAACCAUGACGGAGAGGUGCAUGAUAAGGUGGAGUUCCUAGCUUCAGGACAACUUCUCAAUGCUGGUAUCCGUGAUGGUCCUGCAGAUACAGUACACAUGGAGUCUAACUUCUCAUGGUAUGUAAAGGUUGGAAGUGUGCUAAUGCUUGGAGCUUUGAUGGGUUACAUAGUUGGAUUCAUAUCUCAUGCUCGGAAAAAUUCUGCUGAUAAUGGUUGGAGGCCUAUAAAAACUGAGGUAAUAUGAAUACUUGCUAGUUCAGGUUGUGAAAUUUGGCGAUACUCAAGUCUUACAAGGCAAUCUACAUCGCAAUACUCGAAUGUCUUACUACCAGUUGCUAUAUGGUAAAAACCUAAGUUAAGACGAUGCUUCACCUGGUCACGGCAAGAUAAGAGAGAAUGCCUGCUUAAUGAAUGUGGCCAGCAUUUUGCACUAGUCCUGUAAUGCGACUAUGUGAGAAUAAUCAUGUGUUUGGUAAUGGAUAUGAUUGUUUUAUUCUGUCAUUUCAGUAUAAAUGGGCGGAUAAGUUAUCCAUAUGGAAAGUGGAUAAAAUAAUCUCAUAAGAUAUCCUGGUCUAUCCUACCGACCUGACGUCCCCAUAGCAUGUUUUUUUAAUGAUUUUAGAUGUGAUUUGGAAAAUGUUCUUGUAUGUAUAUGAUCAGUGCUUGAUUGAAUUAUUGUUUAGCAAUUGCCAAGAAAUUAAAGAAUAUAUAAUGGUUGGGAUUUAGCUCUUCCCCUUUCUGUUGGUUUACUACUUUCUGUAUUUAAGAGACUUGUAUUUUUCAUAGAUAAUUAUUGUUGUUG